UACGGGGGGGGGCAAGCGUUGUUCGGAAUUACUGGGCGUAAAGGGCUCGUAGGCGGCCAACUAAGUCCGACGUGAAAUCCCCAGGCUUAACCUGGGAACUGCGUCGGAUACUGGAUGGCUUGAACCCGGGGAGAGGGAUGCGGAAUUCCAGGUGUAGCGGUGAAAUGCGUAGAUAUCUGGAGGAACACCGGUGGCGAAGGCGGCAUCCUGGACCGGCAUUGACGCUGAACAGCGAAAGCCAGGGGGAGCAAACGGG
rnacentral:rRNA from 1 species